rnacentral:lncRNA from 1 species
GAUAUGUAAUAAUGAAUUUGUUAAAGCAUUUAAUGAUAUUUAAUUGUAGAGAAUACAUAAUGCUUGCCAGUCAGUUAUAAAAUGAAACUGAAAGUAGUCUGAUAACAAAUGAAAAUUGAAAAUAUACAAGACUGGUCCCCUGUUCUACAUAAGUAUCUUAUAAAACAGUCAUACAAAUUGGAAUAUUUGAAAAGUUAAAGAAUAUUGAAAAUUGAAAGUAUAAAAUAAUGGUCCCUUCUACAUACGUAUCUUAUAAAUACAAAUAGGAAUAAUUGGUAAGUAAAAGAAUAUAAAAAAUAUCUUCAGUUAUACCAAUAGGAAUACUUUGAGGUUUAAAGACACUUACAUUCAUAAUUAAAUUACUUUCACUAAUUCAACCUUUAUUUCAAUUGAUUCAAUUCAAUUAAGGUAAAAGUCAGUGCAAGAAAAAAAUUGAAUAUCUUCAGGUAAUGAUUCAUAGCUGUUUACAGUUUUGUCAAAAUUAGUCUAACCAGUUGGAAAGAGUUGUGCUUACAACAGACUCAUGUGACAUAUUGCAACAUUGAAUUGAGAGCUCCAAUGAUCUCCCUUAUUAAGAACUUCAAUGAUCUCCCCUUAUUAGAACUUCAAUAUCUCCUCUUAUUAAGAACUUCAAUUAUCUCCCCUUAUAGAGAACUUCAAUUAUCUCCCCUUCUUGAGAACUUCAUUUAUGUCCCCUUAUUGAUAACUUCAACAAUCUCCCCUUUUUUGAGAACUUCAGUUAUCUCCCCUAAUUGAGAACUUCAAUUAUCUCCCCUUAUUAAGAACUUCAAUGAUCUCCCCUUAUUUAGAACUUCAAUUAUCUCCCCUUAUUAAGAACUUCAAUUAUCUCCCCUUAUAGAGAACUUCAAUUAUCUCCCCUUCUUGAGAACUUCAUUUAUGUCCCCUUAUUGAUGACUUCAACGAUCUCCCCUUUUUUGAGAACUUCAGUUAUCUCCCCUUAUUGAGAACUUCAGUUAUCUCCCCUUAUUGAGAACUUCAAUUAUCUCCCCUUAUUAAGAACUUCAAUGAUCUCUCCUUAUUUAGAACUUCAAUUAUCUCCCCUUACUAAGAACUUCAAUUAUCUCGCCUUCUUGAGAACUUCAUUUAUGUCCCCCCUUAUUGAUGACUUCAAUGAUCUCCCCUUUUUGAGAACUUCAGUUAUCUCCCCUUAUUGAGAACUUCAGUUAUCUCCCCUUAUUGAGAACUUCAAUUAUCUCCCCUUAUUAAGAACUUUAAUUAUCUCACUUUAAUGUCUAGGACAGGGUUGUAUUCCUAUAAGCACAUCAUGAGGUAGUGUUCUACAAUUGUGAUGGUAACUUUUCAUUGUUAUCUGUCUAGAUUUGCUAAACACCAGAUAUUCUGUGAAAUUGUUCCACAUAUUUUGGUUUUGUUUUACAAACACUUAAGCAGGAGUUGAACGUACAAGUCUUAUGGACAAAGAGGCAGAGUAUUGUAUUUAUUGCAAUAUAUCUUUUGGUCACUAAAAAGGCUUUGUUAAAUUAUCCCAUUAUUCAAUUAAAACAUCUAAUGAAUGUAUUGAAGUUGGAAAUAUAUGAAGACCAGGGCGGAUCCAGCCAUUUUGAAAAGGGGGGGUCCCCAAUCUAGGAUAAAGGGGGGGGUCCAACUAUAUGUCCCCAUUCAAAUGCAUUGAUCCGCCAAAAAAACGAGGGGUUCCAACCCCCGGAAACCUCCCUCUGGAUCCGCCACUGAAGACAAACCCACUCAUGCAAACCAAAUUAAAGGUAGAGAUUGGAAUAAUAAGAGACUCAAUUUGGUUCAAGUUCUUUGCAAAGGGAAAACACUCAUUUCGAAAAAUCUUAAAUCUCAUACUUGGGAAGCCUUCUUUAUUUACUUUCCCUAGUAAUAUGCUGUUUUUAAUAAUACAAAAUAAAUAUAAAAUUUGUUCAUCUAGGCAUAUUUAAACAUUAUUACACAAAAUAAAAGGCACUUCAUUAUAGUAAUGCACAAAUAAUGUUUCACUCUGUUGCAUAUUAAUUCACUUUUCAAGUGAGCAUUAAAAUGAAGUAAAAAUCACAUGUUCAAAUACCUUGUUUUCUAUACACCAUUCAGUAGGCUGCUAUGAAGUGAAAAGAAACAUAAAAAUUUGUCAACAAGAAAUAGUAUCACAGUGUUAUACAGAAUAAAAAGGCACUUCAAAUAGUAAGGCAUAACAAUUUGUAAAAUUCUUAUUUGUACCUCAAAAAUGGAAGAUAGUACAAAAUGUAUAAUAAACAUAUUUUAUUUUUAAAAUAAUGCAAAAAGACAAAUUUUACUUGAAUAAAAUGCAAGAAGACAUAUUAAUAAAU